CCUGGCUCAGAUUGAACGCUGGCGGCAGGCCUAACACAUGCAAGUCGAACGGUAGCACAGAGAGCUUGCUCUCGGGUGACGAGUGGCGGACGGGUGAGUAAUGUCUGGGAAACUGCCUGAUGGAGGGGGAUAACUACUGGAAACGGUAGCUAAUACCGCAUAACGUCGCAAGACCAAAGAGGGGGACCUUCGGGCCUCUUGCCAUCAGAUGUGCCCAGAUGGGAUUAGCUAGUUGGUGAGGUAGUGGCUCACCAAGGCGACGAUCCCUAGCUGGUCUGAGAGGAUGAUCAGCCACACUGGAACUGAGACACGGUCCAGACUCCUACGGGAGGCAGCAGUGGGGAAUAUUGCACAAUGGGGGAAACCCUGAUGCAGCCAUGCCGCGUGUAUGAAGAAGGCCUUCGGGUUGUAAAGCACUUUCAGCGAGGAGGAAAGGUCAGUAGCUAAUAUCUGCUGACUGUGACGUUACUCGCAGAAGAAGCACCGGCUAACUCCGUGCCAGCAGCCGCGGUAAUACGGAGGAUGCGAGCGUUAUCCGGAUUUAUUGGGUUUAAAGGGUGCGCAGGCGGAACCAUAAGUCAGCGGUAAAAUGUCGGGGCUCAACCCCGGCCCGCCGUUGAAACUGUGAUUCUCGAGUGGGCGCGAGG
rnacentral:rRNA from 1 species